UUUGAAAUAAUGAACUAUUUUAUUGUAAUCAUAAAGAAUAAAGUGAAAAGAGUUUGCAUUCUGUUGUAAAUAUGUCAACAACAGUUAAGGAAAGGGGAGACUAUAACAAAAUAAUUGGAAAAGCUAUUUACAUCCCAAGGAAUGAACAUAUUCGGUAUGUCAGUAACAGUCCAAUGCUCACAUUAAUAAGCUUGUAUUUCCAAUCAGAAUUUUUUUUAAAAAUACACAUUUUAUAUUCUGCUAAUGUGUAUAGGAAUAGUGGAAACCUCAUUUAUCACCACAUUAAAAUUUUGAAAAUUUAUUUCUGAUGAAUCUUUGGCAAGAGCCGCAUACAUAACUCAAAGGCUUAUGAAAGAUGCUAAAUGUGAAUAGAAUUAGGAACAGUCACUGACAGAAUUUAAAUCUUUGGUCAUUUAAACAAGGCACUAUAUACACAUAACUUGUCCAGACCAGCAAAACAAUGAAACAAAGGCACAUUUCUUUUUCGUUCAUAGUUUAAAAAAAAACAAAAAACAAUAAAAGGGAGGUAACGGCUAUGAAUAACUAUCACGUUGUUGAGGGGAAAUGUUUUUAAAAAGUCAAUGUCUCCAUAUUGUUCUUCCUAUAUUAUUUCCCUUUUCAUGUUACAUAUUUCUUUCUAAGAAACAUUGAAAGUCAAAACCAUUAUUACUCCAAAACACUUUUGAGAUUCAUAAAAAAACAAAAUUCAACUUGUACAUCUGACAGUUGUAUCCCUUGCUGUGUUAGAAGGCUGCCUCUGUCCUAAGAAUUCAAAACAUAACACCUUGGCUGUAAAACAAAAAAAGUCAAUUGAGUAACUAAACGUUGUCAGUAAAUUGUAGAGACAGAACAGACUUCUGCCUAAAGUCUUACUAUGUCUCUUAGUGAUUCUAUAAUGAACUCAAAAUUGAUUGGUCAAUGCAUGGAGAUGGAAUUGAAAACUCAAUAGGUACAGUUUCUAUAGAAAGUAACAUUUGAAAUACACCUAGUUGUCCUUUGAGGUUUCUGACCUAAGAAUGAAACGGUGUUAAUGUUUCUUUUUCUACACUUGAUACUCUUCUCUGAGCAAUGCUCCCCACCUCUACAGAUAUGGAUACUAUUACUAUGGAUACUAGGUUCUUUGUUUAUAAAAUAUUUCUUAGUAAGGUGAUGGCAUCAUCAUAAGAUAAAAAUCUCCAAGUGCAAAAAUUAGUUUUUAAAAUAUACUAUAGGCUAGUAUAGGCCUACCAUUUGCAUCACUUGGAGUAGUGCCAAGAUCUAAAAUUCUUUUUUGUUAUUUGAAGAAAAAAUAAGCCAUCAUAUUGUCUCACGAGUCCAAGGCACACAUAAAAGCACUUUUCACACUGUAUUCUUUUGUUCUAGUUAGAAGACCUAUUUUUGAUACCAUUUAUUUCUAUUGUUGCGGCGUGACAAAGCUUGAAAAACUAAAAACAAACAUUUGGUUACUUGAAAUGGAAGACUUUUAGUUAUUUCUUUGCUCAGAAGAUUUAUUUAAACACCCAACAAGUCUUUCACGCAUUAGUUUUUAUCUUAAAAAAAAAAGAUUAAAGUAAAAGGUUUACAUUUGAAAUGUAUUUAUAUUAAGAUUAUAAUAGCAUGCUUCAAUAUUUUUGUAACAGAAAUUGACUGUAAGGCUUCUGAAGGUCAAUUAAAAUGCUGUAUUGAAAUUUUUGUUUCUAAUAAGAAAGAAAAAUUUUUAAAAUCUGGGCAACAAGAAACAAGUUUGGGGAUAUCCAAUAAAUUGUUAAGUACAUAUGGACAUGUUUGUGAAAUAUAAAUAAAGCAAUCGUUGAAAACACUUUGUAUUCUAUGAUUAUAGUCUUAACAGCAAAAUGUGGAAGUGAUUUAGAAAAAAAGUCACCACAAGGUUGCUAGACUACAAACAACAAUAUGGCAAAUCUGUGGUUUAAUCACACAGUUGAAAAUGCUGCUACAACUGGCCACAAAGUGGUGUGUUCAAAUAGUUUGGCUUCUCCACAGUUCAGUUCAAUAUUGUCCUGCAUAUUUAGUAAAAUCAGUGUUGAAAGUGUUUACCACUUAGAAAUGGAAGACAUUAACAUUCAAAUAAAUGAACUAUAUAUAAUCUUAGAUAAUUUUACAUAGUAAUAAAAAAUAUUUAAAAAUAGCAAAGGUUAAAAGUUAUUGCAUUCGGAAUUAUUUUCAAAUAAAAUGUAAAAAAAAAAAAAAAAAAAAAG